AACUGAAUCCAUAGGUUAAUGAGGCGAACCGGGGGAACUGAAACAUCUAAGUACCCCGAGGAAAAGAAAUCAACCGAGAUUCCCCCAGUAGCGGCGAGCGAACGGGGAGGAGCCCAGAGCCUGAAUCAGCAUGUGUGUUAGUGGAAGCGUCUGGAAAGGCGCGCGAUACAGGGUGACAGCCCCGUACACAAAAGCGCAUGUGCUGUGAGCUCGAUGAGUAGGGCGGGACACGUGGUAUCCUGUCUGAAUAUGGGGGGACCAUCCUCCAAGGCUAAAUACUCCUGACUGACCGAUAGUGAACCAGUACCGUGAGGGAAAGGCGAAAAGAACCCCGGCGAGGGGAGUGAAAAAGAACCUGAAACCGUGUACGUACAAGCAGUGGGAGCACCCUUUGGGUGUGACUGCGUACCUUUUGUAUAAUGGGUCAGCGACUUAUAUUCUGUAGCAAGGUUAACCGAAUAGGGGAGCCGGAGGGAAACCGAGUCUUAACCGGGCGUUAAGUUGCAGGGUAUAGACCCGAAACCCGGUGAUCUAGCCAUGGGCAGGUUGAAGGUUGGGUAACACUAACUGGAGGACCGAACCGACUAAUGUUGAAAAAUUAGCGGAUGACCUGUGGCUGGGGGUGAAAGGCCAAUCAAACCGGGAGAUAGCUGGUUCUCCCCGAAAGCUAUUUAGGUAGCGCCUCGUGAAUUCAUCUCCGGGGGUAGAGCACUGUUUCGGCUAGGGGGCCAUCCCGGCUUACCAACCCGAUGCAAACUGCGAAUACCGGAGAAUGUUAUCACGGGAGACACACGGCGGGUGCUAACGUCCGUCGUGAAGAGGGAAACAACCCAGACCGCCAGCUAAGGUCCCAAAGUCAUGGUUAAGUGGGAAACGAUGUGGGAAGGCCCAGACAGCCAGGAUGUUGGCUUAGAAGCAGCCAUCAUUUAAAGAAAGCGUAAUAGCUCACUGGUCGAGUCGGCCUGCGCGGAAGAUGUAACGGGGCUAAACCAUG
rnacentral:rRNA from 1 species